rnacentral:rRNA from 1 species
AUCUUCCGCAAUGGGCGACAGCCUGACGGAGCAACGCCGCGUGCGGGAUGACGCCCUUCGGGGUGUAAACCGCUUUUCUUCAGAAAGAAUGCCGGGCAACCGGCUUGACGGUACUGGAGGAAGAAGGACCGGCUAACUACGUGCCAGCAGCCGCGGUAAUACGUAGGGUCCGAGCGUUGUCCGGAGUUACUGGGCGUAAAGCGCGCGCAGGCGGCGGUGUUGGCUCGGCGUGAAAGCCCCCGGCUCAACCGGGGAGGGUCGUCGAGGACUGCACCGCUUGAGGGCGGUAGGGGCUGGUGGAAUGCCUGGUGUAGUGGUGAAAUGCGUAGAGAUCAGGCGGAACACCCGUGGCGAAGGCGGCCAGCUGGGCCGUCCCUGACGCUGAGGCGCGAAGGCGUGGGGAGCGAAC